rnacentral:tRNA from 2 species
GCCCCCUUAGCUCAGUCUGGUAGAGCAGCUCCCUUUUAAGGAGACGGUCGUAGGUUCAAAUCCUACAGGGGGCACCA